UACGUAGGCAGCAAGCGUUGUUCGGAGUUACUGGGCGUAAAGGGUGUGUAGGCGGUUGGAUAAGUGUGGUGUGAAAUCUCCCGGCUCAACUGGGAGGGUGCGCCGAAUACUGAAUGACUAGAGUGCGGGAGAGGAUAGUGGAAUUCCUGGUGUAGCGGUGAAAUGCGUAGAUAUCAGGAGGAACACCUGUGGCGAAAAGCGGCUCACUGGACCAUAACUGACGCUGAUGCACGAAAAGCUAGGGGGAGCAAACAGG
rnacentral:rRNA from 1 species